GCCAGGAAUUAUGAAAAUGGAGAAAGAACCCAUUGCCCUCAGACCCAUGGUGUUGUCCGGCUGCUGCUAGGCGCACGUUGAACUUCAAGAGCUGCUGACCCAAGAGAGCAAAGCCAAACCGUGCACCUCAUCACGGGAGAGGAAGCAGCGUGAGCCCUGGAGAUUAAACGGAUUAACUCCCCCAAUCACCUGAGCAAAAGAGACCAGGACACCUUCUUCCGUUGGGGCCACCUGAUAAAAACAGAUGACCUGUCUUCUCAUGUGUACAGAUGUUAAGCUGCACAAUUCUCUACAUCUAUGCAAGUAUUUUGUUGACUGUUCUUUCCUUCAAAGAGUAACUUCAGUGCCAGAUGAGGUGAAUGAAAACCAAAUUUGCUGUUCGUGGGCUGUGACAAUGAGAGCAAUGGGAGUGCAUCUCCUUUACAAGGAGAGAUGGUCACGUCAUCUGGCCUGGCCAGAUGUCCUGGCCCCCAAGGACUUCAUCGGCCACUUCUUCUCACUGUAUCUUUUUCAGAACGUGAUGGAUGAAGGCAGGGUAUGGGAGAGUA